rnacentral:rRNA from 1 species
UGAGGCUAAUAGUUCAUACGGGAGUCAUGCUGGAAUGCCGACUCCCCGAAACGCUCAGGCGCUGUAGGAUGUGGCUGCGGCCGAUUAGGUAGACGGUGGGGUAACGGCCCACCGUGCCGAUAAUCGGUACGGGUUGUGAGAGCAAGAGCCCGGAGACGGAAUCUGAGACAAGAUUCCGGGCCCUACGGGGCGCAGCAGGCGCGAAACCUUUACACUGCACGCAAGUGCGAUAAGGGGACCCCAAGUGCGAGGGCAUAUAGUCCUCGCUUUUCUCGACUGUAAGGCGGUCGAGGAAUAAGAGCUGGGCAAGACCGGUGCCAGCCGCCGCGGUAAUACCGGCAGCUCAAGUGAUGACCGAUAUUAUUGGGCCUAAAGCGUCCGUAGCCGGCCACGAAGGUUCAUCGGGAAAUCCGCCAGCUCAACUGGCGGGCGUCCGGUGAAAACCACGUGGCUUGGGACCGGAAGGCUCGAGGGGUACGUCCGGGGUAGGAGUGAAAUCCUGUAAUCCUGGACGGACCACCGAUGGCGAAAGCACCUCGAGAAGACGGAUCCGACGGUGAGGGACGAAAGCUAGGGUCUCGAACCGGAUUAGAUACCCGGGUAGUCCUAGCUGUAAACGAUGCUC